rnacentral:rRNA from 1 species
AUGGGGAGUUGGCCCCGUGAUAAGACCGGGCCGCGUCUCCCCUCUCCCGUUCCCAUUCCCCACUUCCCCACCUGUUCUAGAACCCAAACCCUAGCGGCCAUGGAUCCGUCCAAGCUGAGCGAGCUGCGCUCCUUCGUGGAGGCGUGCAAGAAGGACCCGGCCCUGCUCGCCGACCCCGCCCUCGCCUUCUUCCGCGACUACCUCACCUCCCUCGGCGCCACCCUCCCCGCGUCCGCCGCCGCCGCCGGCAAGCCCGCGCCCAAGGCGAGGUCCAUGGACGACAUCGACGACGACGACGACGAGGAGGAUGAGGGGGAGGGGGAGGACGACCAGGACAUGCGCGACCCCACCCCCGAGCCCGACGAGCUCGACGAGGAGAUCGUCGAGUCCGACCUCGAGCUCGACAACGACGGCGUCGUCCACCCCGACCACGACGACGCGCCACAGAAGAUGGGAGACUCUUCCGUCGAGGUGACCGAGGAGAGCCGUGACGCCUCCCAGGAAGCAAAGGGCCAGGCAAUGGAAGCAAUGUCAGAAGGGAAACUGGAAGAGGCCGUCGAGCAUCUCACCAAGGCUAUACUGCUGAAUCCAACCUCGGCAAUCAUGUAUGGUACCAGAGCAUCUGUGUUCAUCAAAAUGAAGAAGCCUGCUGCUGCCAUCCGUGAUGCGAACGCUGCUCUAGAGAUCAACCCAGACUCUGCAAAGGGCUACAAGACCCGUGGGAUGGCUAAUGCCAUGCUUGGCAAGUGGGAGGAAGCUGCUCGUGAUCUGCAUGCUGCGUCAAACAUUGACUACGAUGAUGAGAUCAAUGCUGUGCUCAAGAAGGUGGAGCCUAAUGCACACAAGAUAGUGGAGCAUCGCAGGAAGUAUGACAGGCUGAGGAAAGAGAGGGCGGAGAAGAAAGCUGAGCGUGACAGGCUUCGUCGCCGUGCUGAGGCACAGGCUGCUUAUGAGAAGGCCAAGAGGAAGGAGCAAUCAUCAAGCCGCUCUUCAGGAGGCAUGCCUGGUGGAAUGCCCGGUGGCUUCCCAUUCCCAGGAGGCAUGGGUGGAAUGCCUGGUGGCUUCCCUGGAGGGAUGCCUGGUGGUUUCCCUGGAGGUAUGGGUGGUAUGCCUGGAGGAAUGGGGGGUGGUUUCCCUGGAGGAAUGGGUGGAGGUAUGCCCGCAGGAAUGGGGGGCGGUAUGCCCGCAGGAAUGGGAGGCGGUAUGCCUGGAAUGGGGGGUGGUAGAGGAAUGGGAGGUGGUAUGCCUGGAGCUGGGGGUGCUCCCGGUAAUGUUGAUAUGGGUGACAUCUUGAAUGACCCUGACCUGAUGGCAGCAUUUGGUGACCCAGAGGUUAUGGCGGCCCUUCAAGAUGUGAUGAGCAACCCUGCCAACUUGGCCAAGCACCAGGCGAACCCGAAGGUGGGGCCCAUCAUCGCCAAGAUGAUGGCCAAGAUGAACGGGAACCGGUGA